CAGCAGCCGCGGGAAUACGUAGGGUGCGAGCGUUAAUCGGAAUUACUGGGCGUAAAGCGUGCGCAGGCGGUUCGUUAAGACAGAUGUGAAAUCCCCGGGCUUAACCUGGGAACUGCAUUUGUGACUGGCGAGCUAGAGUAUGGCAGAGGGGGGUAGAAUUCCACGUGUAGCAGUGAAAUGCGUAGAGAUGUGGAGGAAUACCGAUGGCGAAGGCAGCCCCCUGGGCCAAUACUGACGCUUAUGCACGAAAGCGUGGGGAGCAAACAGGAUUAGAUACCCGAGUAGUCCCUGUCUCUUAUAC
rnacentral:rRNA from 1 species